AUUGAACGCUGGCGGAAUGCUUUACACAUGCAAGUCGAACGGCAGCACGGACUUCGGUCUGGUGGCGAGUGGCGAACGGGUGAGUAAUGCAUCGGAACGUGCCCAGUCGUGGGGGAUAACGUAGUGAAAAUUACGCUAAUACCGAAUACGAGCUAUGGAUGAAAGCGGGGGAUCGCAAGACCUCGCGCGAUUGGAGCGGCCGAUAUCAGAUUAGGUAGGUGGUGGGGUGAAGGCCCACCAAGCCAACGAUCUGUAGCUGGUCUGAGAGGACGACCAGCCACACUGGAACUGAGACACGGUCCAGACUCCUACGGGAGGCAGCAGUGGGGAAUUUUGGACAAUGGGCGAAAGCCUGAUCCAGCCAUUCCGCGUGCAGGAUGAAGGCCCUCGGGUUGCAAACUGCUUUUGUACAGAACGAAAAGGUUUCUACUAAUACUAGGAGCUCAUGACGGUACUGUAAGAAUAAGCACCGGCUAACCACGUGCCAGCAGCCGCCGUAA
rnacentral:rRNA from 1 species